UUUUUACGUACUGCAAAACGUUCUACGAAUUGAGUAAGAGAUUAAGAAACUUAAGCGAACAGCACGCGGUAUUUAUGGUGUUAAUUUCUGGACACCCCAUAACCUUUUAUCUAGCUAUUGCAUUCAUAUUGGAUAUCAUGACUGAUAACUUAAAGGACAUUCAAAUAAUUUGUUUUGAGAAAUCCAUGCAAUGCACAAAUGAACGGGACCGAUGUGGAUUGGAAAAAUUACUACUGUUACUCGCUCAUCGUCCCCUACGUUUCACAAUUUUGAGAAUAAAACCAAUUAGUAUUCGACUGGUAUUGAGCUGCUUGACUUUUGUCGCCAUUAAUGCAAUCGCUUUAAUGCAGAUCAAAAGCUUUUACGUUUAGAAGAUAAAAAUAUAGGUACCUAUAUAUUUUUUUGUGUGGGGA